rnacentral:lncRNA from 1 species
AACAGGAACUACACAAAAACUAAUACAGUAAUCUGGCCAUGCCCCGAUAGUGUAUAAUAUUAAAGAAAGUGAAAUUAUGGUUCUAAUGUUUGUUUUCCUGAAAACACUACUUUUAUGACCAGAACAUGAGCAUAGUAUGCUACCAUUGAAAAUUUAUCUGACAUAAUUUGACACAAAAGUAGAAUCCGUUUUAAAUGUAUUACCACAAUGCAUUUGUCCUGAAGAUUGUGUUUAUAACACAUUGCUUUUCAGUAUUUCCAAAACAUUAUACGCUUAACGCUGAAGAUCUGAAAAACACAAUCAUAAUAAAAGAAAACAUCCCACAACCCAAAGAUAUAAUUUGCCGGUAUACUUCCUGAUAUUUUUACAUAUACAAAUGGCCCCUAAUGCUAUCUAGUUUCCAGUUAUGGUAACUAAAUGGUCACAUUAACACUUUUUAAAAAAGAUCUUUCCCAAUUAUUAAGAACUCACACAUAUUUGUCCAUCUUAGAUCACUUAAUCAUCCUAUCAUCACUGUUUUAAGACAAAAAAAAUCUUAUUACUUCUAGGAACUUCAUCUCAAAUAGCAUCCCCAUCCCCUCUCUGACUGACUUUACCUGUAUAACUUGCAUUCUAUUAAGCAUAAGAUGAUUAAAUUGGCUGCAAAAGCCAGAAGGGACUUUUAAUGAAUUUACACACUAAGAAUUGUGACAACUAUGUCUUGAUCCAAUAUGAAAGUUUCUUAGAUGUUGAAUCUCCAUUAAAAAUUAUUCCAGAGGCCAGGCGCGAUGGUCUUAAUAUGUGCCUAGGUAUAUGAGUCAUGCAGAUAUCUAAGAGGAAGAAACUAUUCUGCACUAUUCUGGGUGACACGAUAUCCACAGCUCUGAUGACAUUGUUCUCUCCACACAGAGAAGAAACUAUAAAUAGAACCCUAAGCAUCAUGUUCCACAUAUCAAAGAAGGAGAUACAAACUAUUUUUGGAAUACAAAUAAAGCUUUAGUAACAUGAAAUAAAACACCUGUCAAUAAGAGACAUUAAUCUAUUCUACAAAAAUAAGAACUUUUUAAAAAGAAAUAUGGCCUUUAAUCAGAGAUGAUGUAAUGACAUAUCAAAUCAAUGUCAACACCCUGAGAAAAGCCAUCUCCUACUGCACAAUUACCCUGCCAUUCUCAGUCGAAGACUGUCCUCUAUUAAACAUUAUCUGGACUUCUUUCCUUUGUUUUAUGGAGUGAGUUUAUAAACGCUUGUUCUCCGUAACUAGUGAUUUCAAGUAUUCUGUUUUAUCUAAGAAGUACAAUGAAGGUCAUGAGAAGUCCUCUAUUAACACUUUAUCUGGACUUGCUGGCACUAGUGUAACUA